CCGCGAGAUCAUGACCUGAGCCGAAGUCGGACGCUCAACCGACUGAGCCCCCCAGGCGCCCCGAGAACGUUGCUUAUCUUUAGAGAGUUUCAUUUGCUCACAGUGCACACCAGAACUGAUCCUGUUUUUCGUGAUGUGAAAAGAGGCUUACUUCGAAAGCUCUCAGUUCUCUCACUGUUCAGAAACAUUGUUCUCAAGGUGACAGCUUCCAAAGGGCGUAUUUCAACUCAUUCAUCCAGCAUUCAAGCUCUCUUCCUCAUCCCAGCUCCAAAUUGCAGUCUUUUUGGAGGAAACCCCAUGAGAGCCCGGAAGAAAAGGUUCCUCUGCAGGACAGGUUGAAAUGCUAAAUGGAGACAGAGCUGAUGUGAGCAGGAUAAGUUAACAAUGGCGCCCACAGAAGUUGGUCAGAAAAGCAAGAUGGAGUCACCAUGAUACCACAGAGAAAGGAGAUCCCGCCUUCUUCCCAUUGACACGGGGAGAACAACCAAGCAGGCCCGACUUUUGAGAAACGCCGGUCAAUUUCUAUUUGCGAACCAUGAUUACACAUCCAUUUCCUGCACUAUCCUGGUUCCAUGACAUUUCCAUGACCCAGACGAUUACCGGAACCCAAUGAGAUGCCUCUCACCACCUACUCACAGACUUAGUCAUCCUGCAUGAAACCCUGACGCAUAUCGACCUACGGACUCUGAUUGCCAAAAUCAUAUGUAACAU